AAUAUGCCCGGUACUAAGGAAUAGCCUUUGGAAACGAAGAGUAAUACCUUAUACGCCCUUCGGGGGAAAGAUUUAUCGGUAUCGGAUUAGCCCGCGUAAGAUUAGAUAGUUGGUGGGGUAAUGGCCUACCAAGUCUACGAUCUUUAGCUGGUUUUAGAGGAUGAUCAGCAACACUGGGACUGAGACACGGCCCAGACUCCUACGGGAGGCAGCAGUGGGGAAUCUUGGACAAUGGGCGCAAGCCUGAUCCAGCCAUGCCGCGUGAGUGAUGAAGGCCUUAGGGUCGUAAAGCUCUUUCGCCAGAGAUGAUAAUGACAGUAUCUGGUAAAGAAACCCCGGCUAACUCCGUGCCAGCAGCCGCGGUAAUACGGAGGGGGUUAGCGUUGUUCGGAAUUACUGGGCGUAAAGCGUACGUAGGCGGAUUAGUCAGUCAGAGGUGAAAUCCCAGGGCUCAACCCUGGAACUGCCUUUGAUACUGCUAGUCUUGAGUUCGAGAGAGGUGAGUGGAAUUCCAAGUGUAGAGGUGAAAUUCGUAGAUAUUCGGAGGAACACCAGUGGCGAAGGCGGCUUACUGGCUCGAUACUGACGCUGAGGUGCGAAAGUGUGGGGAGCAAACAGGAUUAGAUACCCUGGUAGUCCACACCGUAAACGAUGAAUGCCAGACGUCAGCAAGUAUACUUGUUGGUGUCACACCUAACGGAUUAAGCAUUCCGCCUGGGGAGUACGGUCGCAAGAUUAAAACUCGAAGGAAUUGACGGGGGCCCGCACAAGCGGUGGAGCAUGUGGUUUAAUUCGAGGC
rnacentral:rRNA from 1 species